UACGUAGGGUGCGAGCGUUGUCCGGAUUUAUUGGGCGUAAAGAGCUCGUAGGCGGCUUGUCGCGUCGGCUGUGAAAGCCCGUGGCUCAACCAUGUGGUCUGCAGUCGAUACGGGCAGGCUAGAAUUCGGUAGGGGAGACUGGAAUUCCUGGUGUAGCGGUGAAAUGCGCAGAUAUCAGGAGGAACACCGGUGGCGAAGGCGGGUCUCUGGGCCGAUAUUGACGCUGAGGAGCGAAAGCGUGGGGAGCGAACAGG
rnacentral:rRNA from 1 species